GAUUGGGUCCCUUACCCAAUCUCACCUGUUCUCAUUCCGAACACAGAAGUUAAGUCUUGUAGUGUCGAUGAUACUCUUUCAUGGGGAAAGUAGAUAGCCGCCAGCA
rnacentral:rRNA from 2 species